ACUGUGAGAUUAAAAAAAAAAACAGCAGCUUGAUAACCCUGUUUAUCAUAUGACCAAGAGAAAAAGUUGCAAAGAAUUCUUAAAUUUUUUGUGAAGCAACACCAAAUUAACUUGAGACAAAAAGAACUAAGUCGCGAAUUGCGAAUCCUCAUUUAUUGGAAAAUAUUAAAUCCUUGAACCCCGGUGAUUGUGAGUGAUUCGUGAUAUUUGUCUUUUGAAUAACUGUCCGAUACAAAAAAAUCAAAUCAAAUCAUAAAAAAUGGCACUUAGCGACGCUGACGUACAAAAACA